ACAUAAGUCAUUUCGAGAUCUUGUUAAAAUGCAGAUUCUGAUUCAUAGAUGUUUUUUACAGCCCAAGAUUUUUCAUUUCUAACAAGCUCCCAGGUGACACUGAU
rnacentral:pre_miRNA from 1 species